rnacentral:tRNA from 1 species
GGCGGGGUGCCGGAGCGGUCGAACGGGGCGGUCUUGAAAACCGUUGGGCGUGCAAGCGUCCCGUGGGUUCGAAUCCCACCCCCGCCG